rnacentral:misc_RNA from 1 species
GGACUAUCGGAACAAUAGAGCUGAACUUUUUGAUGGCAUUGAAGAAGGUGGAAUCAGAGCCUCCUACUCGACUAGUGAAAUAGAUGAACUUGACAAUGAUCAUGCUGUUGAUGGGCUGCAAGAUAGGGUGAAUAUCCUUAAGAGAUUGACAGGUGACAUACAUGAAGAGGUUGAGACUCAUAAUCGUGUACUGGAUAGAAUGGGCAGUGAAAUGGACGCAUCAAGAGGAAUUCUUACAGGAACAAUGGAUCGGUUCAAGACGGUGUUUGAGACUAAAUCGAAUCGCAGAGUGGCUACCCUGGUGGCAUCGUUUGUGGCUCUCUUCUUAUUCAUAUAUUACUUGGCCAAGUAGUUGGCUGUCUUACAGAGUACUCUGCUUGUAUAUCUACUUAAAAUAGGAAGCUUGUAAACUGCUGGACUUUGAUGGGGGUAAGUUUGAGUGUAAA